rnacentral:misc_RNA from 1 species
AAAAUAAUCCUACCCUUUGUGAAUUUUGUUUGUUUGAAUAAUUUUUUUUUUUUAAAAAAUUAUUGGAGUCUUUCCCUUUAGAGUUUGCUUUUGAGUUUGUAAAAGAAUUCGAAAACAUCUAAAGGGGAUGGUCAAUAAUUUUUUUUGAAAAAAGACAUUUUUUAAAAUUAAACUUUUUGUAUUCAUUUGUCUAAAAAUUAUUUUUAUAAUAUAAAAACAACUUUUGACAAUGGAUCUCUUGGUUCUCGCAACGAUGAAGAACGCAGCAAAAUGCGAUAAGUAGUGUGAAUUGCAGAAUACGUGAAUCAUCGAAUCUUUGAACGCAUAUUGCACUUUUUUAGUUUACUAAAAAAGUAUGUCUGUUUGAGUAUCAGUAAAAUAUUCUCAUAAAAAUCAUUGUAUUUUUAUGGUUAUGAGUGUUUUACAACGAUACAAGUUGUUUCACUUUAAAUUUUUUUUUAAUAUUGAAAUUUUUCUAAUUUUAAUAAUUAAAAUUGGAUAAAAUUUUCCCGUCAAAAGGAAUAACCUAAACAAUUUUAAAUGAUUAAUUUUAGCAAAAUUUUCGUAAAAAAGGAAAAUUUUUAUUAAAAUAACUUGAUCUCAAAUCAGAUAAGAGUACCCGCUGAACUUAAGCAUAUCAAUAAGCGGAGGAAAAGAAACUAACAAGGAUUCCCUUAGUAACGGCGAGUGAAGCGGGAAGAGCUCAAAUUUGAAUCUUCAAGGUUUUACCUUGACGAAUUGUAGUUUAAAGGAAGUGUUUUCUGCUGAAGUUUUGGUAAAAGUUCUUUGGAAUAGGACAUCAUAGAGGGUGAGAAUCCCGUAUUUGACCAUUAUUUUCAGCUUUGUGAUACACUUUCAAAGAGUCGGAUUGUUUGGGAAUGCAGUCCAAAAUGGGUGGUAAAUUUCAUCUAAAGCUAAAUAUUGGCGAGAGACCGAUAGCGAACAAGUACCGUGAGGGAAAGAUGAAAAGAACUUUGAAAAGAGAGUUAAACAGUACGUGAAAUUGUCAAAAGGGAAGCGUUUGACACCAGUGUUGUUUUCUCGAAAAUCAAUUAAAAAUGGCUCGAUUUUGUAUUGCUGAGACCUUAAAAGCUCACUGUACAUUUUUCGUGUCUUUUUUAAUGCACUUUUCGUUUAACAAGUCAACAUCAGUUUCUUUUGUUGUAAAAGGGUCAUUGGAAGGUGGUUUUCUUUUCGGAGAAAGUGUUUAUAGCCUUUGGCCUCUGCAAUCGAAGAGACUGAGGUCUGCAGCGUAGACUCUUCGGGGUUAGAUACAUUUGUGCUAAGUUAUAGCUUUUUAUAGACAACUUGUUGACUAUAAUUAGUCUUGUAGCUUACUCGCUUAUGCUAUUUUACCUACGCUUAGGAUG